GAUGAAGAACGUAGCGAAAUGCGAUACGUAAUGUGAAUUGCAGAAUUCAGUGAAUCAUCGAAUCUUUGAACGCAUAUUGCGCUCUUUGGUAUUCCGAAGAGCAUGCUUGUUUGAGUAUCAGUAAACACCUCAACCUCUUCUUGAUUUUUCAAAAGGAGGGUGGACUUGAGCUAUCCCAACAACCUUUACCGGUCGGCGGGCGGCUUGAAAUGCAGGUGCAGCUGGACUUUUAUCUGAGCUAAAAGCAUAUCUAUUUAGUCUGCCUAAAAAACAGAUUAUUACCUUUGCUGCAGCUAACAUAAAGGAGAUUAGUUCUUGUGCUGACUGAUGCAGGAUUCACAAAGACGGCUUCGGCCGACUUUGUAAACUCGAUCUCAAAUCAAGUAAGACUACCCGCUGAACUUAAGCAUAUCAAUAAGCGGAGGA
rnacentral:misc_RNA from 1 species